GACGAACGCUGGCGGCGUGCUUAACACAUGCAAGUCGAACGGAAGGGCCCUGCUUUUGUGGGGUGCUCGAGUGGCGAACGGGUGAGUAACACGUGAGUAACCUGCCCUUGACUUUGGGAUAACUUCAGGAAACUGGGGCUAAUACCGGAUAGGAGCUCCUGCUGCAUGGUGGGGGUUGGAAAGUUUCGGCGGUUGGGGAUGGACUCGCGGCUUAUCAGCUUGUUGGUGGGGUAGUGGCUUACCAAGGCUUUGACGGGUAGCCGGCCUGAGAGGGUGACCGGCCAAAUUGGGACUGAGAUACGGCCCAGACUCCUACGGGAGGCAGCAGUGGGGAAUAUUGCACAAUGGGCGGAAGCCUGAUGCAGCAACGCCGCGUGCGGGAUGACGGCCUUCGGGUUGUAAACCGCUUUCGCCUGUGACGAAGCGUGAGUGACGGUAAUGGGUAAAGAAGCACCGGCUAACUACGUG
rnacentral:rRNA from 1 species